rnacentral:rRNA from 1 species
GACGAACGCUGGCGGCGUGCCUAAUACAUGCAAGUUGAGCGCUGAAGGUUGGUACUUGUACCAACUGGAUGAGCAGCGCACGGGUGAGUAACGCGUGGGGAAUCUGCCUUUUGGCGGGGUACAACAUUUGGAAACGAAUUCUAAUACCGCAUAAAAACUUUAAACACAAGUUUUCAGUUUGAAAGAUGCCAUUGCAUCACUCAAACAUUCUCCCUCGUUGUAUUAGCUAGUUGGUGAGGUAAAGGCUCACCAAGGCGAUGAUACAUAGCCGACCAGAGAGGGUGACAGGCCAAAUUGAGAAUGAGACACGGACCAACAUCCGCCGGGGGGGAGCAGUAGGGAAUCGUAGGCAAUGGACGAAAGUCUGACCGAGCAACGCCGCGUGAGUGAAGAAGGUUUUAGGAUCGUAAAACUCUGUUGGUAGAGAAGAACGUUGGUGAGAGUGGAAAGCUCAUCAAGUGACGGUAACUACACAGAAAGGGACGGCUAACUACGUG